rnacentral:misc_RNA from 1 species
AUGUUUUUGUUACGACAAUUUACAUUCAUCACGCUAAGGUUUUUGGUGUUUUGCGUCAGGGGCCCGAGAGCCCGAAGACGUACACAGUUCACGGUGUGUGUGGAAUAGACACGGCCAGAGGCCAAUCUCUAAUGAUCCUUCCGCAGGUUCACCUACGGAAA